UCCGGUUUGUCACCGGCAGUCCCUUUAGAGUCCCCGGCAUAACCCGCUGGCAACUAAAGGCAAUGGUUGCGCUCGUUGCGGGACUUAACCCAACACUUCACAGCACGAGCUGACGACAGCCAUGCAGCACCUGUGCUAAACUCCGAUUGGAUACGGUCGCCCCAGCUUUCACCGGAACUACUUCUAGCAUGUCAAGCCUAGGUAAGGUUUCUCGCGUAGCCUCGAAUUGAACCACAUGCUCCACCGCUUGUGCGGGUCCCCGUCAAUUCCUUUGAGUUUCAGUCUUGCGACCGUACUCCCCAGGUGGUAGAUUUAAUGUGUUAACUGCGGCGCCGAGAGGAUCGACUCUCCCGACACCUAAUCUACAUCGUUUACGGCUGGGACUAC
rnacentral:misc_RNA from 1 species